UAUUACAUGAUAAAAUUUUCAACCCAGGGCUGAGUUCAACCCCGGUGUUUAACUCAGCCCUGGGUUGAAAAUUUUGUCAUGUAAU
rnacentral:miRNA from 1 species